CAGAAGCAUUUCUUUGCUCCUAAACACCUGUGAACAUACUUUUGUUGCUUCGGCGGGCCUGCCUCUCGGGAGGCAGCCAAGGUCCGCCGGAGGUUUUUUCAAAACUCUUGUUUUAGUGGUCUUCAGAAUAACCAAACAAAAUAAAUCA
rnacentral:misc_RNA from 1 species